AGCUAACGGAUGUGGCAUGGGGCGGGGGACCAGGCCGGAGGCGGGCUGCCGGGAGGGGGGAUUCCCUCGUGCCCCAAGGGCGAAUCUCAGGUCGGAGGAAGGGGCUGAGGGGAUUCCCUCUCCCACCGGGUCCGACUCUUCGCUCCCCAAGCCGCGGAGGGCCAGCCUCUUCUUCGGCGCCCUCCAGGCCUGUUGGAGGUGAGGGAGGUGGGGUGAGGUGGUGCCCGCCCCCCCCUCCGGCUCCUCCUUUCCCCCAGUCCUCCCCUCCCACCACCCUCCCCCCCAACCGGUCCGUCCCUCCCCUCCCUCCCUCCCCCCCGCCGCCUCCUCCUCCUGCCGCUGCCGCUGCUUUGGCUGCUGCGUCAUACGCCCCAGAGCCGCCGGGACGGAGGGGCUGGGCCUGGGGACCCCCCGGCCUCCGCCUGCACGCCCCCCCACGCCCGGACGUGCCCUCUCCGCGCGGGGGACUCGCCUAGGUCUCCUACGUCUGCCCCUGCCCGGCUCCCGGCGGCCCCAGCUGUCACCG
rnacentral:sRNA from 1 species